rnacentral:rRNA from 1 species
ACKGCUCAGUAACACGUAGCUAACCUACCCUUAGGUCAAGAAUAACCUCGGGAAACUGAGGAUAAUACUUGAUAGAAAAUAUUUUCUGGAAUGAGAUUUUUUUCAAACGCAAGGCCUAAGGAUGGGGCUGCGGCUGAUUAGCUAGUUGUUGGUGUAAUAGACUAACAAGGCGAUGAUCAGUAAGGGCUCUUAGCGGAGGAGCCCUGAGAAGGAAUCUGAGGCACUAUUCCUAGCUCUACGGGGUGCAGCAGUCGAGGAAAUUCUUCAAUGUCCGAAAGGGCGAAAGAGCGAACCAGAGCGUUUUCUUUACGAAAACUUUUAUCUGCUGUAAAAAGGCAGAUGAAUAAGGACUGGGUAAGACCGGUGCCAGCCGCCGCGGUAAUCCCGGCGGUCCAAGUCGCAUCCACAGUUAUUGGGUCUAAAACAUCCGUAGCUUGUUUUGUAAGUCUCUUGUGAAAUCUGGUAUCUUAAGUAUCAGGCGUGCAAGAGAUACUGCGAAGCUUUGAGACCGGAAGACGCAAAGAGUAUGAUUAAGGUAGUGGUAAAAUAUGUUAAUCUUAAUCAGACUAACAAUGGCGAAGGCACUUUGCGAGUACGGAUCUGACAGUGAGGGAUGAAGGCUAGGGGCGCAAAAGGGAUUAGAUACCCCUGUAGUCCUAGCAGUAAACACUGCUCACUAAACAUUAGUACCUCCUCGAGAGGUAUUAGUGCUGUAGGGAAGCCGAAGAGUGAGCUACCUGGGAAGUAUAGUCGCAAGGCCGAAACUUAAAGGAAUUGGCGGGGGAGCAC